GAAUCAGGUGAAGAUUCUUGUGAUGAGGGCCCUUCACCAUCACACAUGCAGCAUAGUGUGUCCAGUGCUGAGGUUCUUGCAGGCCUUGUGGGAGCCUCUUAUAGCCAGCCGGGACCUAUUGAUAUUUCACAGUCAAGAGCAACAGGACCCACUCAACCCCAGUUAAAGCUGUAUCCAAAAACCAUGCAAGGGGAGAAGAGGAGGUCGUUCAAUCCAUCCUGGUACAACAGGUUUUCAUGGCUUGAGUACUCAAUAAUGAAAGACUCAACGUACUGCUAUGCAUGCAGGCAGUUCUCUUUGCCUAGCACGUCAGAAUCUGUGUUCACCUCAGAAUCCGGCU